GAUAAACGCUGGCGGCGUGCCUAAUACAUGCAAGUCGAACGAGGAAGACCCGAGCUUGACUGGGUUGACCGAGUGGCGAACGGGUGAGUAAUACAUAAGCAACCUGCCCACGGAGACCGGGAUAAUCUCUGGAAACGGGGACUAAAACCGGAUAGGCAGCAAUGAGGCAUCUCAAUGCUGUUAAAGGUGAGAGACACUGGUGGAUGGGCUUAUGGCGCAUUAGUUAGUUGGUGAGGUAACGGCCCACCAAGACGAUGAUGCGUAGCCGGCCUGAGAGGGUGAACGGCCACAUUGGGACUGAGACACGGCCCAG
rnacentral:rRNA from 1 species